rnacentral:rRNA from 1 species
AUUCCAGCUCCAAUAGCGAAUACUAAUUCUGCUGCAGUUAAAAAGCUCGUAGUUGAAUAUCUGGCGUUGGGAAGCCCUGCCCGCCGCGAUUCGCGUGUGAGUUGUGGGGCGUCCCCGCCAUCCUGUGUGGGAGCCCGCCUACCCUUCAUUGGGCCGGGCGGUGCGAGCACACUCAGUUACUUUGAGAAAAUCUGCGCGUUCAAAGCAGGCACACGCUAUGAAAGCUUCAGCAUGGAAUAACAAGAUAGGACCUGGGUCUCUAUUUUGUUGGUUUCUAGGAUCGAGGUGAUGAUUGAUAGGGACAGUUGGGGGUGCUUGUAUUUAACGGCCAGAGGUGAAAUUCUUGGAUUCGUUAAAGACAAACUACUGCGAAAGCAUUCACCAAGGAUGUCUUCAUUG